CGGGGGGCCUGUGGAGGACCCCCGCCUCGGUCGGCUCUGUCUCCUCCCUCUCCGCCCCGGGCCGCCCGCUGGGGCUUACGCCACUUCUCACGCUCUUACCGUGGGUCCCCGAGCUCCGUGGGGGGUUGUGGAGCUCCGAGGCCCGUCCGCGGGCCGGCCGAGUGGUUCCGGGUUUAGGGUUCACAGGUCAGAGUUGACUCCCAGAAAAGUGCAGUCGGUUUGAAAUGCAAGAUGGCGGCGGCGGGUGUCUGAGAGGCGCGGCGGCCCCUGCAGGCGAAGACUACAAGCUACUUCAGAACUAUAGUAAUGAUGGCCUGAGCUAACCACCUAACUGGAAUGAAGGUGCCCUUCCGUGUGAAAGAUCACAAUGCUGAGAAGGCCAUGGCAAGUGAUUGGCGUUGUGCUUCAAAAAUUUCAGCAGUUCAACAGUAUUUUAUCUGUCAACAGUAAGCUCUUUACUUGAUUGCACCAUGAAAAAGCUGCUAAAGAGACUUGUUGAGCACAAAAGUGGACUUGAAGAACCAGAAGCCAUUGUUUUCAAAUGAAGAAUCUUGAAUAGUUUUCAGCCUCAAUGCUUUUCAAUCAACACUGAGGUUUCGCCCAUAACAUCAGAAUGGCGAGCAGGCGAAAGUCAACAACACCUUGCAUGGUCCUGGCUAGUGAACAGGAUGCAGAUCUUGAGUUGAUAUCAGAUUUGGAUGAAGGUCCUCCAGUACUUACACCUGUGGAAAAUGCCAGAGCAGAGAGUAUCUCAAGUGAUGAAGAAGUUCAUGAGUCUGUGGAUUCCGACAAUCAGCAAAAUAAAAAAGUUGAAGGUGGCUAUGAAUGUAAAUAUUGUAGUUUCCAAACUCCAGAUUUAAAUAUGUUUACUUUUCAUGUGGAUUCAGAACAUCCCAAUGUAGUACUAAAUUCAUCUUAUGUUUGUGUUGAAUGCAAUUUUCUUACCAAAAGGUAUGAUGCACUUUCUGAGCAUAAUAUGAAAUACCACCCAGGAGAAGAGAAUUUCAAGUUGACAAUGGUGAAACGUAACAACCAGACAAUCUUUGAACAAACAAUAAAUGAUCUGACCUUUGAUGGUAGUUUUGUUAAAGAAGAAAAUGCAGAACAAGCAGAGUCCAUAGAAGUUUCUUCUUCAGGAAUCUCUAUCAGUAAAACACCUAUCAUGAAAAUGAUGAAAAAUAAAGUAGAAAACAAACGGAUUACAGUCCAUCAUAACUCAUCUGAGGACACUCCUGAGGAGAAAGAAAAUGAAAUCAAACCAGACAGGGAAGAAAAGGUAGAAAAUGCAAAUUCUUCAGCUCCAGAAUCUACCACCAGUACUUCCGUUGUAAACAGAAUACAUGCAAAUACUGGCAACACAGUGGUGACCCCCGCAGCAGUUCUUCCUGGGCUAUCACAGGUCAUAACCGCCGUGUCUGCUCAGCAGAACUCAAACCUGAUUCCCAAAGUCUUAAUCCCUGUUAAUAGCAUUCCUGCCUACAAUGCUGCACUGGACAACAAUCCUCUCCUACUGAACACCUACAACAAAUUCCCUUAUCCAACAAUGUCAGAGAUUACCGUUCUUUCGGCUCAAGCAAAAUAUACAGAGGAACAGAUCAAGAUAUGGUUUUCAGCUCAACGCCUAAAACAUGGUGUUAGUUGGACUCCCGAAGAAGUAGAGGAGGCGAGAAGAAAGCAAUUCAAUGGGACAGUGCAUACUGUACCUCAGACCAUAACUGUCAUCCCGACCCACAUUUCCACAGGGAAUAAUGGUUUACCAUCUAUUUUACAGACGUGUCAAAUAGUUGGUCAGCCGGGUCUGGUCCUUACUCAAGUAGCUGGAACAAACAGCUUGCCAGUAACAGCACCCAUAGCCUUGACAGUGGCAGGGGUUCCAAAUCAAACAAGUGUCCAGAAAAGUCAAGUCCCUGCUGCUCAGCCUGCUGCAGAAACGAAGCCGGCCAGUGCAGCACUUCCGCCCCCCCAGAAUGCCAAACCCGAAACUACGCUGGCAAACCCCGAUUCAUUUGGUAUUCGGGCAAAAAAGACAAAAGAGCAACUAGCAGAACUAAAGGUUAGCUACCUUAAAAGUCAGUUUCCCCACGACUCAGAAAUUAUCAGACUUAUGAAAAUAACAGGCCUCACAAAAGGUGAGAUUAAAAAAUGGUUUAGUGACACCAGGUACAACCAGAGAAACUCAAAGAGUAACCAGAGCUUACAUCUCAACAGUGAUUCCUCGGCCACCAUUAUCAUAGACUCCAGUGAUGAGGCCACAGAGCCCCCACCCGUGGCGGCCUCGCAGCCUAAGCAAUCCUGGAAUCCCUUUCCCGACUUCACGCCCCAGAAGUUUAAAGAGAAAACCGCAGAACAACUUCGGGUCCUUCAGGCAAGUUUUCUCAACAGCUCCACACUUACAGAAGAAGAAUUAAAUAGGUUAAGAGCACAAACCAAACUUACGAGAAGAGAAAUUGAUGCUUGGUUUACAGAGAAGAAGAAAUCAAAAGCUUUAAAGGAAGAGAAAGUCGAAAUCGAUGAAAGCAAUGCAGGUAGUUCCAAAGAAGAAGCUGGGGAAACUUCUCCCCAAGAAGAAUCGAUCACCCCCAAGUCAGCGAGUACGGGCAAGAUAUGCAAGAAAACCCCUGAGCAGUUGCACUUGCUUAAAAGUGCGUUUGUUCGAACACAGUGGCCAUCACCUGAAGAGUACGACAAGUUGGCAGAAGAAAGUGGACUUGCCAGGACAGACAUUGUUAGUUGGUUUGGCGACACCCGUUACGCGUGGAAGAACGGAAACCUGAAAUGGUACUACUACUAUCAAAGUGCCAGUUCAGGCAGAAUGAAUGGUCUAUCUUCCCUUAGGAAAAGAGGGAGAGGGAGACCCAAAGGACGUGGAAGAGGAAGACCUCGGGGGCGACCCAGAGGCGGCAAAAGAAUUAACAACUGGGACCGGGCACCAUCAUUGAUAAAAUUUAAAACUGGAACUGCCAUACUUAAGGAUUAUUACCUGAAGCACAAAUUUCUUAAUGAGCAAGACCUGGAUGAACUUGUCAACAGAUCACACAUGGGCUAUGAGCAGGUUAGAGAGUGGUUUGCAGAAAGACAGAGACGAUCUGAGUUAGGUUUAGAAUUAUUUGAGGAAAACGAGGAGGAAGAGGAAGUUGUUGAAGAUCAGGAAGAGGAUGAAGAAGAGACAGAUGAUAGCGAUACUUGGGAACCCCCACGACAUGUGAAGCGGAAGCUUUCUAAAUCGGAUGACUGAAGUGUGAAAGGAUUCAAAAACUAAAACUAAAAAGAAGGGGAAAAGUAUACUGAAGGAAGGAGACUUACUACAGGCUGCUUAAAAUGUUGAAGGAGAAUUAAUUCUUCAACUCAAGAUGUCUGAGUUACUGUGAAUGGGGCCAAUCUUUGGUGACACUGAGAAAUGUUACAAGGCAUACACACUCUGAAAAAAAACAGGAUCCAGUAUCCAAAAGAAAUGGACUUAAUGUGCCAAAGUUAAACUACUGCAGUUGGCGGAAGUUCUGCAAUGUAAAUAGAACACUAAUGAAAAAACAACUUGUAAAAAUUCAGAUUUUAGUACACUUCGUUUUUAUUCUGCUAGGAUGGAAACAUUCUGAAUCUUCAACUUUCUGAAGGGGGUUGAUGACCACUAGCACUUCUCAUUUUCAGUGCAGCUUACUGCUUUGUGUCUAGUUAAGACAGGCUGGACUGCCCGCAUUCAUCCAUAUAUGAUGAAGCUUACAGCUUUUGAGUGACCAAACAUUUUACAAAGUAAAAAUUACUUAGAAAUGGGAGAGAAAAAAUGCUGAUUUAUUUCUGUAAAUUAUUUAUUUGUCUCUGCACCAAGACUAAAAGUUGUACAAGGGCUUAAAAAAUUUCAAGUGUAAAAAUAUACACAUACUGGAAGAGAAAGAUUUGUGGUAUCACUGGCCCUUAAGGAUUAGAUCUUCCAUUAAGCACACUCAUGGGUACCACUAUUUCUACUUAGAAUAUGUGAUUUUUUCCAUUAGAUGCGAAUUUGCUUUGUACUAAGCUAAAAAUAAUGCCGAAGAAGGAAAAGAAACUGGUGUAAGUUGAAUAGAGUGAAAUGCCAUGCCAAAAAAUGUGAAAAAGAAUCAUGUAGUAAAAUACUUGGAGGGGGAUGGCUUUUUUUUUUUUUUACAAUCAUGUGGAAAUCAGGAAUGUUCAUAUUGGAUCAGAAUUUUCAAGAAUUACCUUUCAGUGGAAUUCCACCUUGUGUAACACUUUCAGGGAUUAGAGGAAAAAAAAUUCUGAACUGAUCCCAAUGAGUUAAAAGUUAGCUGUUUACUUAGAAUCAUGGGAAUGCUGUGAACUCUUGCUGUUAUCAGGAGACUGAAGGUUCACAGGAACUGACAACUUUGUAAAGACAGGUGCUGUUCAUCCCCGGUGAGAAGGACCUUCUCUUUUCAUAGGACCACUUUGCAUAAUGGGCUUUCUUCAUAGAGGAAAUGUUCAGAUUCAUUAGCUUUGAAUUUUUAAAAUGUUUUUCUGAAUGAUCACAUGUAGUGGGCUUGGCCAGUUUAUCUAAUUUAAUGAAUAAUAAACAUUAAGCUCUUGGUUAAAUGUCAGCUAAUGAAAAUGUUAUGAAAAAGCAUGCUGCUUUCAUUUUUACAAACUUUUUAUUUUUUAACGAUAGCUUUAUUAGUAACUCCAAAUGCUGCAAUUUAGCUGAUUCUUCCCUCAGACAGCUGGCUUUGUGGGUGGCUUUUUUCAUACUACUGGUAACUUUUUUAAAAGAAGCAAUGUAAAGACUGUAACAAUUGAAUGCACUAAACUGUUUUUUUCUUUUAUAUAUUCAGAACUUCUUAAAGCACUCUGUAUUAUAAUGAUUAAAUUGCUUCCUUUUUUAAAACCAUUGCUGAUGUGGUCUGAGUUUUGUUUGGCAGUAAUUUUUAUGUUUUCAAAAAUCUGAAAUGUCAAGUAUUAGAAAUGAAGCCUUUGAAUAUAUUUAUAUUAUGUUUCCCUUGUAAUAUGUUAACUGUAUAGCUGUAAACAACUACUAAUACAAUUUCCCAUCACUUUUAUAGGUUUGAUGAAAUUCUGCUCUGAUGUUCGCUAGCUUUAAAUAUAUUUAUUUGACAGAGCAACAGAACCUUUCCCUCCUGGUUGACUGUGACCUUGAAUACAAAAUAAAAGCAGUGAUGAGUAGUUUUCA